rnacentral:rRNA from 1 species
UACGUAGGGGGCAAGCGUUGUCCGGAAUCAUUGGGCGUAAAGCGCGUGUAGGCGGCUCGGUAAGUCUGCUCUGAAAGCCCGGGGCUCAACCCUGGGAGGCGGGUGGAUACUGCUGAGCUCGAGUCCGGAAGAGGCGAGUGGAAUUCCUGGUGUAGCGGUGAAAUGCGCAGAUAUCGUAAGGAAGACCAGUGGCGAAGGCGAAUCUCUGGACAGUUACUGACACUGAGGCACGAAGGCCAGGGGAGCAAACGGG